rnacentral:tRNA from 2 species
AGAUUGUAAGGAAAAAUG